rnacentral:lncRNA from 8 species
CUCUGUACCGGUACCCCCCCUGUAUAUAGCCUCCACAUUAACUCUGUACCGGUACCCCCCCUGUAUAUAGCCUCCACAUUGACUCUGUACCGGUACCCCCUGUAUAUAGCCUCCACAUUGACUCUGUACCGGUACCCCCUGUAUAUAGCCUCCACAUUGACUCUGUACCGGUACCCCCUGUAUAUAGCCUCCACAUUGACUCUGUACCGGUACCCCCUGUAUAUAGCCUCCACAUUGACUCUGUACCGGUACCCCCUGUAUAUAGUCUCCACAUUGACUCUGUACCGUAAUACCCUGUAUAUAGCCUCCACAUUGACUCUGUACCGGUACCCCCUGUAUAUAGCCUCCACAUUGACUCUGUACCGUAACACCCUGUAUAUAGUCUCCACAUUGACUCUGUACCGUAAUACCCUGUAUAUAGCCUCCACAUUGACUCUGUACCGUAACACCCUGUAUAUAGCCUCCACAUUGACUCUGUACCGGUACCCCCUGUAUAUAGCCUCCACAUUGACUCUGUACCGGUACCCCCUGUAUAUAGCCUCCACAUUGACUCUGUACCGGUACCCCCUGUAUAUAGCCUCCACAUUGACUCUGUACCGGUACCCCCUGUAUAUAGCCUCCACAUUGACUCUGUACCGGUACCCCCUGUAUAUAGCCUCCACAUUGACUCUGUACCGGUACCCCCUGUAUAUAGCCUCCACAUUGACUCUGUACCGGUACCCCCUGUAUAUAGCCUCCACAUUGACUCUGUACCGGUACCCCCUGUAUAUAGUCUCCACAUUGACUCUGUACCGUAAUACCCUGUAUAUAGCCUCCACAUUGACUCUGUACCGGUACCCCCUGUAUAUAGCCUCCACAUUGACUCUGUACCGUAACACCCUGUAUAUAGUCUCCACAUUGACUCUGUACCGUAAUACCCUGUAUAUAGCCUCCACAUUGACUCUGUACCGUAACACCCUGUAUAUAGCCUCCACAUUGACUCUGUACCGGUACCCCCUGUAUAUAGCCUCCACAUUGACUCUGUACCGGUACCCCCUGUAUAUAGCCUCCACAUUGACUCUGUACCGGUACCCCCUGUAUAUAGCCUCCACAUUGACUCUGUACCGGUACCCCCUGUAUAUAGCCUCCACAUUGACUCUGUACCAGUACCCCCUGUAUAUAGCCUCCACAUUGACUCUGUACCGGUACCCCCCCUGUAUAUAG